rnacentral:rRNA from 1 species
GACGUAGGAGGCGAGCGUUAUCCGGAUUCACUGGGCGUAAAGCGCAUGUAGGCGGAUGUCUAAGUCGUGUGUUAAAGCCCCUGGCUCAACUGGGGGAGGUCAUGCGAGACUGGAUGACUUGAGGGCAACAGAGGCACGUGGAACUCCCGGUGCAGCGGUGGAAUGCGUAGAGAUCGGGAAGAACACCCGUGGCGAAGGCGGCGUGCUGGGUUGCAACUGACGCUGAGAUGCGAAAGUGUGGGGAGCAAACGGG